rnacentral:rRNA from 1 species
UGCGAUGGCCACGCCACCCUGAACGAACCCGAUCCCGUCUGAUCUCGGAAGCUAAGCAGGGUCGGGCCUGGUGAGUACUUGGAUGGGAGACUACCUAGGAAGACCAGGUGCUGUAGGAG